rnacentral:rRNA from 1 species
AACGAACGCUGGCGGCAGGCCUAACACAUGCAAGUCGAGCGAGGACUUCGGUCCUAGCGGCGGACGGGUGAGUAACGCGUGGGAACGUGCCCUUUGGUACGGAAUAGCCCCGGGAAACUGGGAGUAAUACCGUAUGGUGUCUUCGGACUAAAGAUUUAUCGCCAAAGGAUCGGCCCGCGUUGGAUUAGGUAGUUGGUGGGGUAAUGGCCUACCAAGCCGACGAUCCAUAGCUGGUUUGAGAGGAUGAUCAGCCACACUGGGACUGAGACACGGCCCAGACUCCUGCGGGAGGCGGCAGUGGGGAAUCUUAGACAAUGGGGGCAACCCUGAUCUAGCCAUGCCGCGUGAGUGAUGAAGGCCCUAGGGUUGUAAAGCUCUCUCAGCUGGGAAGAUAAUGACGGUACCAGCAGAAGAAGCCCCGGCUAACUCCGUG